AUGGGGAUACCAGGAGAAGAAAGGAUCACAUGGACGGCAAGCCUCCACCACCGGCAAGUGGGGUUGCUUCACAUCCAAUAUCCACGGCCGCCGCCUUCAUGGGGUCGAACUCCCAUGUUCACAACCGGGCUCCCAAUCGGCCGCUGCCUCGCCGACCUUGACGACGAAGUAGUCCCUCCCUUCGAUCCCAUUCGCAACGGAGGCAACACCCAUCCCAGCGGACGGGUCCGCGGUGAGAUCCCUACUGGAUUGUGGUCGCGCCUUUCCAAACCUCACCGCGGGACACAUGAGAGGGCGCCGUUGCCAUGGUCAGGCUUGGAUGGGGAAAGGAGGCGACAUAGCAGCAACGGCGCCUUUGACGGGAUUGGUGGCGACGGCGGCGGCGAGCGAGCAGGAGGACGGCGGCGGCGAGAGAGUAGGAGGGUGGUGGCGGCAGUCCAUUGGCCGCCGUGA
rnacentral:rRNA from 1 species